UGCCGGAAUAGCUCAGUUGGUAGAGCAGAGGACUGGAAAUCUCGU
rnacentral:tRNA from 1 species